UUUUAUUAGGUAUUAUUAAUAAUAAAGUCUGCUCAAUGAAAAAUUUAAAUAGCCGCAAUAGUGCUAAGGUAGCAUAAUAAUUUGUUUUUUAAUUUAAGACUAGAACAAAAGACUUAACAUCUUAAUAAAUAUUUUAAAUCAAUUAAUUGAAAUUAUCUUAAAUGUAAAAAGACAUUUAUAAAAAAAAAAGACGAUAAGACCCUAUUGAACUUAACUUUAGUUUAACUGGGGCAGUUAAUUAAUUAUUACUUUAAUUUUUUUUUAAAAAAAAAAAUAGACCUAAUACAAUUAACAAUAUAAUUAAGUUACCAUAGGGAUAACAGCGUAAUAGAAUUUUAAAGAUCUUAUUAAAAAUUAAAUUUACGACCUCGAUGUUGAUUUAAUAACCUUAUUAUAUAUAUAUAUAUAUAUAUAAACCACGCAAUAGUAAAUAAAGGAAGUCUGUUCGACUUUUAAAAAAUUACAUGAUUUGAGUUCAGACCGGUGUAAACCAGGUCGGUUUCUAUCUUUUAAACUAAUUUCUUCUAGUACGAAAGGACCUAAGAAAUUAUAUUAUUAUAU
rnacentral:rRNA from 1 species